rnacentral:rRNA from 1 species
UACGUAGGGGCCGAGCGUUGUCCGGAGUUACUGGGCGUAAAGCGCGCGCAGGCGGCGCAUCGCGCCCGGCGUGAAAGCCCCCGGCUCAACCGGGGAGGGUCGUCGGGGACGGGUGCGCUUGAGGACGGCAGGGGCAGGUGGAAUUCCCGGUGUAGUGGUGAAAUGCGUAGAUAUCGGGAGGAACACCAGUGGCGAAGGCGGUUACCUGGAGCUUUGCUGACGCUGAUGCGCGAAAGCGUGGGGAGCAAACAGG